rnacentral:rRNA from 1 species
AUGAACGCUAGCUACAGGCUUAACACAUGCAAGUCGAGGGGCAGCAUGGUCUUAGCUUGCUAAGGCCGAUGGCGACCGGCGCACGGGUGAGUAACACGUAUCCAACCUGCCGUCUACUCUUGGACAGCCUUCUGAAAGGAAGAUUAAUACAAGAUGGCAUCAUGAGUCCGCAUGUUCACAUGAUUAAAGGUAUUCCGGUAGACGAUGGGGAUGCGUUCCAUUAGAUAGUAGGCGGGGUAAUGGCCCACCUAGUCUUCGAUGGAUAGGGGUUCUGAGAGGAAGGUCCCCCACAUUGGAACUGAGACACGGUCCAAACUCCUACGGGAGGCAGCAGUGAGGAAUAUUGGUCAAUGGGCGAGAGCCUGAACCAGCCAAGUAGCGUGAAGGAUGACUGCCCUAUGGGUUGUAAACUUCUUUUAUAAAGGAAUAAAGUCGGGUAUGCAUACCCGUUUGCAUGUACUUUAUGAAUAAGGAUCGGCUAACUCCGUGCCAGCAGCCGCGGUAAUACGGAGGAUCCGAGCGUUAUCCGGAUUUAUUGGGUUUAAAGGGAGCGUAGAUGGAUGUUUAAGUCAGUUGUGAAAGUUUGCGGCUCAACCGUAAAAUUGCAGUUGAUACUGGAUAUCUUGAGUGCAGUUGAGGCAGGCGGAAUUCGUGGUGUAGCGGUGAAAUGCUUAGAUAUCACGAAGAACUCCGAUUGCGAAGGCAGCCUGCUAAGCUGCAACUGACAUUGAGGCUCGAAAGUGUGGGUAUCAAACAGGAUUAGAUACCCUGGUAGUCCACACGGUAAACGAUGAAUACUCGCUGUUUGCGAUAUACUGCAAGCGGCCAAGCGAAAGCGUUAAGUAUUCCACCUGGGGAGUACGCCGGCAACGGUGAAACUCAAAGGAAUUGACGGGGGCCCGCACAAGCAGCGGAGCAUGUGGUUUAAUUCGAAGCAACGCGAAGAACCUUACCAAGUCUUGACAUCCCUCUGACCGACUCUUAACCGAGUCUUCCCUUCGGGGCAGAGGAGACAGGUGGUGCAUGGUUGUCGUCAGCUCGUGCCGUGAGGUGUCGGCUUAAGUGCCAUAACGAGCGCAACCCUUGUUGUCAGUUACUAACAGGUUCCGCUGAGGACUCUGACAAGACUGCCAUCGUAAGAUGUGAGGAAGGUGGGGAUGACGUCAAAUCAGCACGGCCCUUACGUCCGGGGCUACACACGUGUUACAAUGGGGGGUACAGAGGGCCGCUACCACGCGAGUGGAUGCCAAUCCCAAAAACCUCUCUCAGUUCGGACUGGAGUCUGCAACCCGACUCCACGAAGCUGGAUUCGCUAGUAAUCGCGCAUCAGCCACGGCGCGGUGAAUACGUUCCCGGGCCUUGUACACACCGCCCGUCAAGCCAUGGGAGCCGGGGGUACCUGAAGUGCGUAACCGCGAGGAGCGCCCUAGGGUAAAACUGGUGACUGGGGCU